rnacentral:rRNA from 1 species
UACGGAGGAUGCGAGCGUUAUCCGGAUUUAUUGGGUUUAAAGGGUGCGUAGGCGGGAUGCCAAGUCAGCGGUAAAAAUGCGGUGCUCAACGCCGUCGAGCCGUUGAAACUGGCGUUCUUGAGUGGGCGAGAAGUAUGCGGAAUGUGUGGUGUAGCGGUGAAAUGCAUAGAUAUCACGCAGAACUCCGAUUGCGAAGGCAGCAUACCGGCGCCCUACUGACGCUGAGGCACGAAAGCGUGGGUAUCGAACAGG